UAUCUACUUACUUUCUGCUGUGUAGGUUAUUUUUUUACAUAGUCAAAUCAUUUUUGUUUUCUUCAUAAUUUCUGCUUUUGGUGUCUUUUAUAGAAAGGACUUCCCCAAUCCAAAAUUAUUAAAGUGAUCAUGUGUUUUCCUUUCAGUAUUUCCCUUGAAGUAAACCAAUCUCCAAGCUGUUCGUAAGAUUGUUUGGCAAUUUAUUUAGAAGAAAUCCAUGUCAGAGGAUCCAAAUUUAAUAUGCUUUUGCUUUGAUUUCAGUACCAAAAAGUUAGAUAAUUUUGCUAUGACGUUUUCUUCUCCCUUACAAGUUUUGAUAUCUGAAUUUAUAAUGUUCAAACUUAACCCCACUUUUCAACAGAUUCAGUUACCUUUGAAACUGUGUAUCAUGUUUAUUAAUUGAAGAGAAGCCCAUGAGCUGUAGAAGAAAGCUCCUAUUCCUAGGGAUUAGUUUGGUAUUACUAUCUAAAUAACUAGCUCACCGUCAUAAAUGAUUUCUAAAAUGGUCUGUUAUUAAUUCCCCAUGAGAGAGAUAAUUUAAUUCAGAAAUUGCCUGUUGCAUAGCCUAUCUGCGCUCUUGUGACCCACAAAUGGAUGAUCCAUAUGUUGCUUUGUGAAACAACUGGAUAAAAUUUCAAUCUCCUAAAAGACUCACUAAAUAAAUUUUUUAUCUGGUCAUAUAAUUGAGAUUUAUAGUCCACCAAAUGAGCUCUAUUGGUUUACAGCUGGGAAUUGGCCAUAAAAACUUCAUAAUAUCUUUUAAAAAAAUAUUUUCUAUCUGAUUCCACAGAGAUAUUUUGGUCUGCAGCCUUUAUUUUCUGCUCCUUUCUUUUCUGCUUUUCGACUGAGUAGCUUGUGAAUUUACUUGCACUUACAUUUCUUGCUAUGUGUUUUUCUGAUUAGAAAUGUAAAGCCAUAAGAUUUUAAAGGUAAGUGGUUAGAAAAAGCAGUGUACAAAAUUGACAGAGGUUAUAAAUGUUGUGAACAAGAAGAAAAGUAUAUAUUCACAGAAAGAAACCUGGACAGAUCAUAAUGUUUGCAGUGAUUAUUCCUGAGUGGUGGGAGCAUGGAUGAUUUUCAGUUUCUUUGUAUUUUGGUUAUUUUCAAAUGUUCAGCAAUGAGCUCAAUUACUUUUACAUAAUUACAGAAUAUUUGGGGUCAAAUAUUCACCUAUUUCCCUUUUACUAAAACUUAUUGGAAUUAACAUCAUUUGAUAUAGUAACUAUUUCUGAGUUAAGAAAACAUAAUUAAGACCACAAAAUUACAAUAAUUAUUAAGCCACUGGCUUAUUCCAUAGCACUGUAUAAGCACAGGAUAGAAUAAGAAGAUGAAGAUCCCAGAAUAUGGAAACAGAAAGCUGACAAGUGAUUGAGGAAUGGUGAGAAGACACAGGUUCUGAGGACUGCUGGACAGCCUUUCCUGUUUUUAAAGAAAAGCUAUCUUAUCAUGAGAGAAGAGUCAUGAAAACCAAAAGGUUUCUGCAUUUAAUUCAUUAUUGAGAGGACUGAAUUUACGCUUUGACUUACUCUUUGAUUACAAGCACUGGUGGUUAUAUUUUAUCUAUUUUGUGGAAAUGAGUUAGCACAUGUAGAAAACUGCUCUGAAAGGGGCUGAAAUGAAGCCAUUAAGACCGAAGUGUACUUUUUAAAAAUCCAAACGUCAUGAUUUACUUCUUGAUCUUGGUGAUACUUAUAUGGGUGUUUUCACUUUGUAAACAUUCAUCAAACUCUAUACUUACCACUUGUGUACUUUUCUGUAUGUGUGUUAUACUUCAAUUAAAAAGUUUACUUGAAAGAAAAAAUCCCA
rnacentral:lncRNA from 1 species